UACAGAGGUCUCAAGCGUUGUUCGGAUUCAUUGGGCGUAAAGGGUGUGUAGGUGGCGCCGUAAGUCGGGUGUGAAAUUUCGGAGCUUAACUCCGAAACUGCAUUCGAUACUGCGGUGCUUGAGGACUGGAGAGGAGACUGGAAUUCCCGGUGUAGCGGUGAAAUGCGCAGAUAUCGGGAGGAACACCGGUGGCGAAGGCGGUUCUCUGGGCCUUACCUGGACGCUGAGGAGCGAAAGCG
rnacentral:rRNA from 1 species